rnacentral:rRNA from 1 species
CCUACGGGAGGCAGCAGUGAGGAAUAUUGGUCAAUGGCCGGAAGGCUGAACCAGCCAUGCCGCGUGAAGGUCAAUGCCCUAUGGGCGUUAAACUUCUUUUGUGCGGGAGCAAUACUGGUCUCGUGUGGCCAGACGAGAGUACCGUACGAAUAAGCAUAGGCUAACUCCGUGCCAGCAGCCGCGGUAAACCGGGGGAUGCAAGCGUUAUCCGGAUUUAUUGGGUUUAAAGGGUGCGUAGGUUGUUAGGUAAGUCAGCGGGGAAAUGCCCCCGCUCAACGGGGUGAAGUGCCAUUGAUACUGUCUAGCUGGAAAGCGGAUGCCGUAGGAGGAAUGUGUGGUGUAGCGGUGAAAUGCAUAGAUAUCAGACAGAACACCGAUUGCGAAGGCAUCUCACGAAUCCGCGAUUGACGCUGAUGCACGAAAGCGUGGGUAUCAAACAGGAUUAGAUACCCUUGUAGUC